AGCAGUAGCCGCGGUAAUACAGAGGGUGCGAGCGUUAAUCGGAUUUACUGGGCGUAAAGCGUGCGUAGGCGGCUUUUUAAGUCGGAUGUGAAAUCCCUGAGCUUAACUUAGGAAUUGCAUUCGAUACUGGGAAGCUAGAGUAUGGGAGAGGAUGGUAGAAUUCCAGGUGUAGCGGUGAAAUGCGUAGAGAUCUGGAGGAAUACCGAUGGCGAAGGCAGCCAUCUGGCCUAAUACUGACGCUGAGGUACGAAAGCAUGGGGAGCAAACAGGAUUAGAUACCCAGUAGUCCCUGUCUCUUAUACA
rnacentral:rRNA from 1 species